CGGCGUGCCUAACACAUGCAAGUCGAACGGAGUAUAUCGCUGCAGAGAUUUCGGUCGAAGCUUGAGUAUACUUAGUGGCGGACGGGUGAGUAACGCGUGGGCAACCUGCCUCAUACUGGGGGAUAGCAGGUUGGAAACGACUGAUAAUACCGCAUAAGCGCACAGCAUCGCAUGAUGCAGUGUGAAAAACUCCGGUGGUAUGAGAUGGGCCCGCGUCAGAUUAGCCAGUUGGCAGGGUAACGGCCUACCAAAGCGACGAUCUGUAGCCGGCCUGAGAGGGCGGACGGCCACAUUGGGACUGAGACACGGCCCAAACUCCUACGGGAGGCAGCAGUGGGGGAUAUUGCACAAUGGAGGAAACUCUGAUGCAGCGACGCCGCGUGAAGUGAAGAAGUAUUUCGGUAUGUAAAGCUCUAUCAGCAGGGAAGAAAGACUCGCAAGAGAGAUGACGGUACCUGACUAAGAAGCCCCGGCUAACUACGUGCCAGCCGCCGC
rnacentral:rRNA from 1 species